rnacentral:rRNA from 1 species
GAUGAACGCUGGCGGCGUGCCUAAUACAUGCAAGUCGAGCGAACGGACGAGAAGCUUGCUUCUCUGAUGUUAGCGGCGGACGGGUGAGUAACACGUGGAUAACCUACAUAUAAGACUGGGAUAACUUCGGGAAACCGGAGCUAAUACCGGGUAAUAUUUUGAACCGCAUGGUUCAAAAGUGAAAGACGGUCUUGCUGUCACUUAUAGAUGGAUCCGCGCUGCAUUAGCUAGUUGGUAAGGUAACGGCUUACCAAGGCAACGAUGCAUAGCCGACCUGAGAGGGUCAUCGGCCACACUGGAACUGAGACACGGUCCAGACUCCGACGGGAGGCAGCAGUAGGGAAUCUUCCGCGAUGGGCGAGUGCCUGACGGAGCAACGCCGCGUGAGUGAUGAUGGUCUUCGGAUCGUAAAACUCUGUUAUUAGGGAGGAACAUAUGUGUUAGUAACUGUGCACAUCUUGACGGUACCUAAUCAGAAAGCCACGGCUAACUACGUG